rnacentral:lncRNA from 1 species
AUUUUCUUGCGAUUUCUUUGUUUUUUCUUUUAUUUUUGGAUUCUGGGUUUCAAUCUUUCGUGUCAAAUCAUUAUUCCCCGAUUUGGCUCUGAUUUUUUGGAUGAAUGGGGGACUGGAGAUCCUCUGCUUUUAUCCAGUUCUGUCAUUACGGUUUCUUCUUUGUUCUAAGCUCUGUUUUGAUUUCCUCGUUUGUUUAAGCUCCGUUUGGUGUCUGGGAAAACGGAAUAUUGUUUAAGUUUCCUUUUUCCUUGUUUUCCAAAAAUAGGAAACUCGCCUCAACUUGGUAUUAGCCUUUGGUUGAGUGCUGAUUUUGGACUCCGAUUCUUCUCAUUUGCAGCAAUGCAAGAUUUCAACAUGUGAAAUAUCUUUAUUCUCUAAAGUUUCCUUCCCUUUAAUCCCUACAUUUUCUCAUCAACCAAACAGGUUAUCAAUGGAAUCUAAAAAAAUUCCUCCUUCCUAAAAAGUCCCUCACUUUUCAUGGGCUUUCUAUGGUUUUUUCAUGGUGAGAUACAAAAAAGUCCAUCAUUAGCACAUGGUUUGUCCAGAGUUUCAUGUUAUGACAGAUAAGUCUCACCGGUCAUUGAUGGGGUUGCUCUGUUUUUUCAUUUGCAUCGACAGAUAAGGAGAUCAUCAUACCAUGAUGUGAUCAGGGUUUCUGAGAUUCAGAAAGUGCUGGACAUCACCGGUGUCCAGACCUACAUUAUCAACAGCGCAAGAGUCGUCUUCCUGAAUGAACGCCCGCAGCCUAGGCCUGGAAAAGGAGUCACCAACACCUGCGAGGUCUGCGAGCGUAGCCUCCUCGAUUCAUUCCGCUUCUGUUCCCUUGGCUGCAAGGUACCACAUCCUCCUCAAAAUCCCCGUCAACAUACCCGAAAAAGAUUCAAUAUUUUUCCUAAUUAUUUUUGGCAUUAAUGGGAAUCAAUGGCGUUGAGCACCUGGGAAGAUUUUUUUUUGGUAUUAAUAUCAGUGUUUUUUUUCCCCUCCAUAAUUAAAAGCCUAUAUAAUUAAAGAAUUAAUUACUAAAAUAAUUCGAUUGUGUGGCCUUCUCCUCACAAUGUCAUCAAUGAUUUUUGAACUGGGGUUUUCUCAAAUUAUGAUUUUGAUUGUGAAUUACAGAUUGUGGGUACGUCAACGAAUUUCCAGAAGAAGAAGCAUCAGCAGCCGGCGACAGCGUCGUCGGACUCGGAGGAAUCGUACAGUAGCAGCAGCCAUGGGCGGCAGGCGCUGAACGCAGUCCAGAGUUUUAGUCCCUCGACACCUCCCCCAACUGCAGUAAAUUACAGAACGGCCAAGCGAAGAAAGGGGAUUCCGCACAGGGCCCCAAUGGGAGGACUAAUCAUAGAAUACUAUUAGUCUCCUACAAGUAUCGUGCUCAUCAGCUAAUUCCGAAAAUACCCUCAUAUACAAUACUAGUUUUCACAAUGGCCCUCCAGUCCUAGAGCUUUUUACCAAAAAGGCCAGCAUUGGAGAAAGGCUCCCCUCUUAUCGCAAGCAGUGUGUACAUAGAAGGAAGGCUUAGAAGCCUGCAGCAGUGGAAGC